UGCUGCUAUAGUGUAGUCCGGCCAAUCAUGCGGGCCUUUCACGCCCGCGACUGGGGUUCGAAUCCCCAUAGCAGCAUCC
rnacentral:tRNA from 1 species